CUGAUGAUCUCAAGCAACCAUGAGUGGGAAGUCCUGUCCCCAUCUUCCAGAUGAGGAAGCUGAGGCUCAGAGAAGCACAGGGACAUGUCAAAGGACACACAGCAUGUCAGUGGGAGGCCCAGGGCCAGGGCCCAAGUCUGCCUGCACCCCGAAGCGGGGACGGCUUCUCCCUUCCUCUGAGCUCACGGUGUGGCUCAGCCCUGGGCACAGAUAAAUGUGGUGUUUUUAGAGCAGAGAGGAGUGCUGGCUCCCCCUAGUCAGACCCCCGGUGCCCAGAUGGGAGAGGCUGGUCUGAGGCUGCCGGGUGUAGCUAGAUGGGCCUCAGGUGACUCUUCAACCCCCAACUUGGGUGUCUGAACCAUGCGUUAUCCCAGAGCACAGAGCUCUGUGGAGGUGCGGGGGUAACUGGGGCGUGGGAUGCUCCAAGCACAUGUGUGAGCUCUGAGGAAGGCGCUGGGCAAGGUGGGUGCUGCUGGAAGCCUGACCCCACCUGCCUGUGUGGUAGGACCGGGCCCUGCCCCGGCAGUGACUACAGGCAACCGCAAGGUGGAGCCGCAGCUGCAGCUGUGCAACAAGCUGGUGGCACUGCUGGGCACGCUGGAGGAGCCCCAGGAGGGCUUGGAGGUUGCCCACAUGGCCCUAGCACUCAGCAUCACUCUGGAUGGGAAAGUGAGUCUGGGAACCCAGAAGGGACUGGCCAGAGCUGCCCAGGUGACCACAGGUGCCUGGAGGCAAGCCAGGUGCUGCCCGGGGUCUGCAUACCUGUUCCUGAGGGGCCUGUGCCCUGACUGCCCCAGGGAGCCACGUCCUCACUCCUGCCCCUUUGGCCUACACCCCCGGCUGAAUGAGCACGUGGCCUACCACCGGCUGGCCACCCUGCACCACCUGCUGGGCCAUGGCAAGCUGGCGGAGCACUUCUACCUCAAGGCCCUGUAGCUCUGCAACUCGCCGCUGGAGUUUGACAAGGAGACCCACGUGACAAGGUACACGUGAAGGUGUACCUGGUGCUCGGUGACAUCAUCUUCUACGACCUGAAGGUCGGUGGGAAGGGGCAGGGCUGAAGGUGGGUGGGGAGGGGCAGGGCUCGGGGUGUUUCCAGCCCCCUUGGAGUGGGAUCUCCAUCCAGACCCCCAGGGGCUUGGGUUCCAGCCUUCCUUAGGAAUGGCCCAGUGGCCUCCCUGGAGCUCUGCACGCAGCUGGAGGAACCGGCAAGGUUCACAGAUAUAACCCAUCUCCCAAGCUGGCCAGGACCCACCCUCAAGAACUAGUCUCAGCCUGGGAGGCUGACACAUGAGCGGGCAAUGGUGGCCUCUGGGUAAAGAAGGGGGAUUGUAGUCAGGGGGGCCCUCCUGGAGGAGGUGACGCCAAACUGAGUCUUGAUAGUCAAGUGUCAAGUUGCAUUUAAGAAAGAAAACAAGGUCGGGAGGAGGACAUUUUGGAAGACGGCAUCAUCCUCACAUUGAAUCCACAUUGCAAGAUCCAACCCAAAUCCCAGUGCCUCCUCUAAGAAGCCUGCCCAGGGUGCCAGCCUGCACUGAGCAACUCCUUCCUGGAGUCCCGAGACACCUGGAAUCUUCACAUCACCCAGGAAGGGUGGGGUGGGACCGGUGUCUUACCAUCCGGUUCACAGAUAGGGGAACCCCAGCUCACUGCAGGUGCAGAGGGGCGGGGCCCCAGUCAGACAGGCGGAGACCUUGCUGGGUUGGGUCUGUCUUGAGGGGAGGUGCUGUGCUCUCUCUGUCCCCAGCCCUGCAGGGGUGGAGAGCUGGGACUGGCAGACUCAGACCUGGGAUGUCUCCAUUCCUCUGCCCGGGAGGCACCCGCCCCUCCUCAGCAUCGCACUGGCACUGCGUCAGUACUCCUUAUGGGCUGAGGGGCCAGGGCGCUCCAGUCCAGGGACCGAGAUCUUGGGGGCCUUAGAACAACAUGAGGAGCU
rnacentral:lncRNA from 1 species